ACUCAUUUAAUAUCUACACUUAAGAUACACAAUGUAGUACCCUAGACACGAAUGACAACAAUAACGUGAACUUUUUAGGAACAAACAACCUUAAGGAAAAUGCAAAAUCAAUGAAAAAGAAAAAAAAAUUGAAUGGAAAAGAAUGAAAAACCACUCACCAAUGUUCAACAUUGAGCUUCAGCAACAAACUCGGGUUCAACAAUAAAGAGUGGAAGUGCUCAACGGUCGCUUCCAACUACUUUGAUGGAAAAUAAA
rnacentral:lncRNA from 1 species